AUGGCCGGAUCUCGGAACUGGGCGGAUCUACCGGACGGGCCGACGGCGCUCAUAGCCGACCGCGUCCUCGCGUACGACGUCGCCGACUACGUUCGCUUCCGCGCCGUGUGCGUUCCGUGGCGGCGGUGCUCGGCGGAUCCGCGCGCGCACGGCAGCCUCGACCGCCGGUUCCAUCCCCGGCGGUGGACCAUGCUCCCGGAGGAGCUCGCGGCGCCCAACCGCCGCUCGUUCCUGAACACAUCCACCGGCGAGUGCGUCCAGGUGGACCUCCCGGAGCUCCAUGACCACACUAUGCUCGCCCUCACCCCCGAGGGCCUCCUCGUUCUGCUCCACAAGCUGCAGCGCACCACCGUCCGCCUGCUCAAUCCAUUCACCGGCCACCUCACAGAACUCCCGCCGCUCACCACGCUGGUACCUCCAGCGCGGCAGGCUUGGGCUGGUGUUUACCCUUCCCGAAGGAUGUUCGCAGCGUGGGGCUCCGGCGUUGCCAAUGAUGAUUCCACAGUGGUGCUCUGCUUCUACAAGCUCGGCGUGCUUGGCAUGGCAAAGCCGAGCGAUGACCACUGGACGUUGGUGAAAUGCAGAUUUAAUUCAAUGGGAGCACCCUUAAUGCUGGCAGGCCGCUUCUAUUGCUUUUGCUGGCGCAACGGUGCCAUUGUGCUGGAAACCAUCGUGGAUCAGCCACCACGGCUGGAGGUGGCCUCCGAGCUGAAUUUGAGUGGCUCGCCGAUUAGGGAUAGUGUGCACCUGGUGAACAACUGUGGGGAGCUCAUGCUGGUGCACCGUCGGUGUGGACCAUUGCCACCGGCGAAUAGAUUGGGUUAUUGGUAUGAUGCAUAUCGAGUGGAUUUGGACAAACGGACGCUAUUCCCGCUCAACAGCUUGGGUGGCGCCGCUGGGCGUGCGGUGUUCAUGGGUAUGCAUUGCUCCCUAUCGGUGUCUCUAGAGAAUUUCCCUUCCGGUUCCAUAACUGCUGACACCAUCUACUUAGGCUUUGACGUCCCUGAGAGAGCAGGGUUUAAAGUGGCAGCAUAUCAUCACGCAGAUGGAAGCAUCGAAGGCGCCAGCAGAUAUCAGGGUCGCUUGGUGCCACGGCCGCAUACUCUUGUUGACUGUCUAUCUUUAGCCAAUACUGUCUGA
rnacentral:rRNA from 1 species